rnacentral:rRNA from 1 species
GAUGAACGCUGGCGGCGUGCCUAAUACAUGCCAGUCGAGCGAACGGACGAGAAGCUUGCUUCUCUGAUGUUAGCGGCGGACGGGUGAGUAACACGUGGAUAACCUACCUACAAGACUGGGAUAACUUCGGGAAACCGUAGCUAAUACCGGAUAAUAUUUUGAACCGCAUGGUUCAAAAGUGAAAGACGGUCUUGCUGUCACUUAUAGAUGGAUCCGCGCUGCAUUAGCUAGUUGGUAAGGUAACGGCUUACCAAGGCAACGAUGCAUAGCCGACCUGAGAGGGUGAUCGGCCACACUGGAACUGAGACACGGUCCAGACUCCUACGGGAGGCAGCAGUAGGGAAUCUUCCGCAAUGGGCGAAAGCCUGACGGAGCAACGCCGCGUGAGUGAUGAAGGUCUUCGGAUCGUAAAACUCUGUUAUUAGGGAAGAACAUAUGUGUAAGUAACUGUGCACAUCUUGACGGUACCUAAUCAGAAAGCCACGGCUAACUACGUG